CCUAUCCCCUCGUGUGCCUUGUCAGAGAGUUUGAUUAUGGCUCAGGAUGAACGCUGGCGGCGUGCAUAACACAUUCAAGUCGAACGAAGAGAAACCUUCGGGUUCUUUUAGUGGCGGACGGGUGAGUAACGCGUGAGCAACCUGCCUUGAUGAGGGGGAGUAACACCGGGAAACUGGUGCUAAUACCGCAUAAUACAAGAGAACGGCAUCGUCUUCUUGUCAAAGGAGAAAUCCGCAACAAGAUGGGCUCGCGUCUGAUUAGAUAGUUGGUGAGGUAAUGGCUCACCAAGUCAACGAUCAGUAGCCGGACUGAGAGGUCGAACGGCCACAUUGGAACUGAGAUACGGUCCAGACUCCUACGGGAGGCAGCAGUGGGGAAUAUUGGGCAAUGGGGGGAAACCCUGACCCAGCGACGCCGCGUGAGGGAAGAAGGUCUUCGGAUUGUAAACCUUUGUCAACAGGGACGAAACAAAUGACGGUACCUGAAGAGGAAGCCACGGCUAACUACGUGCCAGCCGCCGC
rnacentral:rRNA from 1 species